rnacentral:rRNA from 1 species
CGUGUAGGCGGCUUGGUAAGUCAGAUGUGAAAGCCCUGGGCUUAACCCAGGAAGUGCAUUUGAAACUGUCAGGCUUGAGUAGGGGAGAGGAAGGUGGAAUUCCUGGUGUAGAGGUGAAAUUCGUAGAUAUCGGGAGGAACACCGGUGGCGAAGGCGACCUUCUGGCCCUAUACUGACGCUGAGACGCGAAAGCGUGGGUAGCAAACAGGAUUAGAUACCCUGGUAGUCCACGCCGUAAACGAUGUUCACUAGGUGUUGGGAGUAUUGACCCUCUCAGUGCCGAAGCUAACGUAUUAAGUGAACCGCCUGGGGAUUACGGCCGCAAGGCUAAA